rnacentral:rRNA from 1 species
AUUUUACAAAAUCGGGAUCUUUUUUGAAUUAAGGUUUAAAUUCUAUGAUUCCUUGUUUGUUGUGUUGGGGCGGCAAAGAUAAAAAUUAGUAACUGUCAUUUAAUUAGAAUAAGUAUAAUUAGUUUAGUUGAUCCUUUAUUAGAGAUUAAAAGAUUAAGUU